GACUGUGUGGCCUAGCGGUCAAGGCGUCCGUCUUACUUUCACUUCUAUUCAAGAAGAUUUACUUUGGGCACGGAAGAUCACAGGUUCGAUCCCUGUCAUGGUCA